rnacentral:rRNA from 1 species
CCUACGGGAGGCUGCAGUGAGGAAUAUUGGUCAAUGGGCGGGAGCCUGAACCAGCCAAGCCGCGUGCAGGAAGAAGGUACUUUGUAUUGUAAACUUCUUUUGUCGGGGAACAAAGGCGGAGACGUGUCUCCGGCUGAGAGUACUCGAAGAAAAAGCAUCGGCUAACUCCGUGCCAGCAGCCGCGGUAAUACGGAGGAUGCGAGCGUUAUCCGGAUUUAUUGGGUUUAAAGGGUGCGCAGGCGGGCGAAAAAGUCAGCGGUAAAAUGUCGGGGCUCAACCCCGGCCUGCCGUUGAAACUGGUUUUCUAGAGUGGGAGAGAGGUAGGCGGAAUGCAUGGUGUAGCGGUGAAAUGCAUAGAGAUCACGAAGAACACCGAUUGCGAAGGCAGCAUACCGGCUCCAUACUGACGUUGAGGCACGAAAGCGUGGGGAGCGAACAGGAUUAGAUACCCGAGUAGUC